UACGUAGGGUGCGAGCGUUAAUCGGAAUUACUGGGCGUAAAGCGUGCGCAGGCGGUUCGUUAUGUCCGAUGUGAAAGCCCCGAGCUUAACUUGGGAAUGGCAUUGGAAACUGGCGAGCUGGAGUGCGGCAGAGGGGGGUGGAAUUCCACGUGUAGCAGUGAAAUGCGUAGAGAUGUGGAGGAACACCGAUGGCGAAGGCAGCCCCCUGGGCCGACACUGACGCUCAGGCACGAAAGCGUGGGGAGCAAACAGG
rnacentral:rRNA from 1 species